AUAUUGGACAAUGGGCGCAAGCCUGAUCCAGCCAUGCCGCGUGAGUGAUGAAGGCCUUAGGGUUGUAAAGCUCUUUCACCGGUGAAGAUAAUGACGGUAACCGGAGAAGAAGCCCCGGCUAACUUCGUGCCAGCAGCCGCGGUAAUACGAAGGGGGCUAGCGUUGUUCGGAAUUACUGGGCGUAAAGCGCGCGUAGGCGGUGAUCCAUGUCAGAGGUGAAAGCCUGGAGCUCAACUCCAGAAUUGCCUUUGAAACGGGAUCGCUAGAGUCCGAGAGAGGAUGGCGGAAUUCCUAGUGUAGAGGUGAAAUUCGUAGAUAUUAGGAAGAACACCGGUGGCGAAGGCGGCCAUCUGGCUCGGUACUGACGCUCAGGCGCGAAAGCGUGGGGAGCAAACAGG
rnacentral:rRNA from 1 species